UACGUAGGGGGCAAGCGUUGUCCGGAAUCAUUGGGCGUAAAGAGCGUGUAGGCGGCCCGGUAAGUCCGCUGUGAAAGUCCAGGGCUCAACCCUGGAAUGCCGGUGGAAACUGUCAAGCUCGAGUCCGGAAGAGGCGAGUGGAAUUCCUGGUGUAGCGGUGAAAUGCGCAGAUAUCAGGAGGAACACCAAUGGCGAAGGCAGCUCGCUGGGACGGUACUGACGCUGAGACGCGAAAGCGUGGGGAGCAAACAGG
rnacentral:rRNA from 1 species